UACGUAGGGUGCAAGCGUUAAUCGGAAUUACUGGGCGUAAAGCGUGCGCAGGCGGUUCGCUAAGACAGAUGUGAAAUCCCCGGGCUUAACCUGGAACUGCAUUGUGACUGGCGGGCUAGAGUAUGGCAGAGGGGGUAGAAUUCCACGUGUAGCAGUGAAAUGCGUAGAGAUGUGGAGGAAUACCGAUGGCGAAGGCAGCCCCUGGGCCAAUACUGACGCUCAUGCACGAAGCGUGGGAGCAAACAGG
rnacentral:rRNA from 1 species